rnacentral:rRNA from 1 species
UACGAAGGGGGCUAGCGUUGUUCGGAAUUACUGGGCGUAAAGCGCACGUAGGCGGACAUUUAAGUCAGGGGUGAAAUCCCGGGGCUCAACCCCGGAACUGCCUUUGAUACUGGGUGUCUAGAGUAUGGAAGAGGUGAGUGGAAUUCCGAGUGUAGAGGUGAAAUUCGUAGAUAUUCGCAAGAACACCAGUGGCGAAGGCGGCUCACUGGCCCGAUACUGACGCUGAGGCACGAAAGCGUGGGGAGCAAACAGG